AUAUUGUAUUAAUGGCCAUUACGGCACAAAUCACGUUCAACAUUGCUGACAGUGUAUAGUAAAAUUUAAGGGAAUGAAGGAUAAUCACCCAAAAGUGGCAAUCAACUCAAAAUUCCCUCAAAAGUGUGCACAGGUGUUUGGAAGAUGAUUGUUAGGGCGAGCACAUGCAUCCAAAAAUUGGCUGCCAGCAUCAAAACCCCGUUACAACUCAUUAAUGAUCCUUCCGCAGGUUCACCUACGGAAA
rnacentral:misc_RNA from 1 species